UACGUUCCCGGCUUGUACACACCGCCCGUCACACCACGAAAGUCGGCAAUACCCGAAGCCGGUGGCCUAACCCGUAAGGGAGGGAGCCGUCGAAGGUAGGGUCGAUGAUUGGGGUG
rnacentral:rRNA from 1 species